GAGAAGCUGAAGUUACAGGGUUUUGUCAUUGGGAAGACAGUAGAGUGUGUCAUAUCCCAAGAGUGAAGCAAGGACAAACCAAAGAACAACUGGGAAGAUCUGGGAGAAAAAGGGAGAGGAGAGCCUGACGUUUCAAGAACUCAAGGUUCAGUACUAGGUCUUAGAGGAAGACUUCAUUUUAGCUUUGAUGCUCUCCGCUAGGCACAGAGAAACUUAAGCAGAAUGACAAGACCUGCUGUUUGAGUAACUCACGUUCUGACCAGAGAGACAGACAUGUCAGCAAGAGGUUACAAUACAGUGUGCUCAGAUUCUCCGGGACUUGGAGCACUUGUUCCAGAAAGGAAGGCCAGGGAAGUCUUCCAGGAGUAGAUGGCGCCUCUGCUGACCUGAAGGGUGAGGAAAAAGUGUCCAGUUGCAGAAGGUGCAACUGCCUAUAGAACAGCUGCCGCGGCCCACUGAAAGCUUCAAGCCGAGACCUGAGGUGCAUGAACCCUCCUUCUGAUAAGCUUCAGAGCAGAAAUGAUGCAACUGAGUCACAGAGAAGUUAAGUAAUCUGCCUGCCGACACUCGGGUCGAUGCCGCCUCAUUCCAUCACUCGGGCAAUGGAGCCAAAGGCCACGUUCACAACCACUAGGCUGUCCCAGCCCCUUGGUAUGAUUUGUCCCUUCCUAAGCUUCAAAGAUAGCCAGGCAGGAGUUAUUUUAUAGAAUGGAAGUAAUUUCUACGGGGCCAAGCAAUAAUAAGGAAAUUGGAAGUCAAGGACUAUCUUCCGAAUGGAGAAGAAGCUCCAUCAACCACAGAAGGAAAUUAUGAUCACUCCUGCCAUCCUGCUCCUUUGUGUAUCCAGGAUGAAGGGGAGAAUUGGAGUCUUGCACAAUGAAAGGACAACAUUGCUGCCAAAACAAUCCAUCGUGACUGUAGACAUAUUUUCCACCCUCAUCCUGCAGGUUUUCUGCCAGUUGUUGGCCCCUCACCAAUUUUGCUCCUGGGCAGUCUGAGGUGGAACAUAAUUUUGUAUAAAACAAAUUAUGCUCAACCUCACUUAUAAUCAGGGAAAUGUGAGUCAAAACCACAAUAAAAUAUCACCUCAUGCUGUU
ensembl:lncRNA novel transcript